rnacentral:rRNA from 1 species
GCAAGUCGAACGGUAAGGCCCAGCUUGCUGGGUACACGAGUGGCGCACGGGUGAGUAACGCGUACAGUAUCUACCAUGAAGAGAGGGAUAGCCCCGGGAAACUGGGAUUAAUACCUCAUAGUAUUACAGAUUAACAUUUGUAAUUAAAGGAUUCGUCCGCUUCAUGAUGACUGUGCGUCCCAUUAGCUAGUUGGUAAGGUAACGGCUUACCAAGGCUACGAUGGGUAGGGGGCGUGAGAGCGUGAUC